UAACUUGGAUAGGGAAGCUGUUAGACGCAUUUUAAUGGACAAAUUACACAUGAGGAAGAUUUAUGCGAAGGUUGUUCCAAAAGGUCUAUCCAAUGACCAAAAACAGUGCCGUAAGGACGUGUGUGUGGACAUGUUAGAACGCAUUGCAAAUGAGCCAAAUUUGUUGGAAUCUGUUGUAACAUGUGAUGAGACACGGAUUUUUACCUAUGACCUGGAAAGUAAGUGCCAGUCAAUGCAGUGGAAGUCUCCAGGAUCCCCAAGACCCAAAAAAGCACGCAUGUCAAAAUCAAAAUUCAAGACAAUGUUAAUUGUCUUCUUCGAUAUUCAUGGAAUUGUAAUGAUUGAGUGGGUUCCCAGUGGUCAGACUGUUAAUCAACACUACUACAUUGAAGUACUAGAAAAGACUUUGGGAAAAAAUUGGGAAAAAAAGGCCACAGUUGUGGAGUGAUGGAUGGCUGUUGCACCAGGACAAUGCACCCACUCACAAGGCCCUAUCUCUCAAGCAGUUUCUGACCAGCAAAAACAUUACUGUGAUGGGGCAUCCUCCUUAUUCACCUGAUUUGGCUCUAUGCAACUUUUUUUUUAUUUCCUUAAAUUAAAUCUUGCUUAAAGGGAACCCAUUUUACCUCAGUUGAAGAGGUUCAGGCAAAAACGGAGAAUCUCCUGAAGGGCCUUCCAAAAACUUCAUUCCAGAACUGUUGCCAGCAAUGGCAGCACCGAAUGCAGAAGUGUGUGAAUGCUGAAGGGGACUACUUUGAAGGUGAUAAUGUCACGGAGAACUGAUUCUGCUCCAAAGAAAAUCGAGGCGAGCUGUCCACUCUACUUGGCGACCAUGGAUGAGCACAGCCAUCAGCAUGUGGACAAUGCCCACUACAGCUAGUACAUGCAGCGGUACCAAUGUGCUGCACACAAUGAGACAGAGAUACAGGUGGUCGAAUGAAGAAUGUGUUGACAUUGUGUUCACGCAAGUAGCUGUUGCGCUCCUGCCCUCUGCCUGGUUCCAACUGGUACUCGCCGUGCAGACACUCCACAGUUGCCUCUGUCACGUGUACACGCCUGGAAGGGAGAGAGAGCAACACCACACAGAUAAUACCACGCAAUACACACCCUGGGAUGCCACCAGCCUCCAUUGCAUUGGCCAAAGUUACGUCGUUGGACCAGACGUCAUACUGCCAUUUGCGUAGACCCAGUACUCCACACAGCACCCGGCC